GAAACAUCUUCGGGUUGUGAGGUUAAGCGACUAAGCGUACACGGUGGAUGCCCUGGCAGUCAGAGGCGAUGAAGGACGUGCUAAUCUGCGAUAAGCGUCGGUAAGGUGAUAUGAACCGUUAUAACCGGCGAUUUCCGAAUGGGGAAACCCAGUGUGUUUCGACACACUAUCAUUAACUGAAUCCAUAGGUUAAUGAGGCGAACCGGGGGAACUGAAACAUCUAAGUACCCCGAGGAAAAGAAAUCAACCGAGAUUCCCCCAGUAGCGGCGAGCGAACGGGGAGCAGCCCAGAGCCUGAAUCAGUGUGUGUGUUAGUGGAAGCGUCUGGAAAGGCGCGCGAUACAGGGUGACAGCCCCGUACACAAAAAUGCACAUACUGUGAGCUCGAUGAGUAGGGCGGGACACGUGGUAUCCUGUCUGAAUAUGGGGGGACCAUCCUCCAAGGCUAAAUACUCCUGACUGACCGAUAGUGAACCAGUACCGUGAGGGAAAGGCGAAAAGAACCCCGGCGAGGGGAGUGAAAAAGAACCUGAAACCGUGUACGUACAAGCAGUGGGAGCACGCUUAGGCGUGUGACUGCGUACCUUUUGUAUAAUGGGUCAGCGACUUAUAUUCUGUAGCAAGGUUAACCGAAUAGGGGAGCCGAAGGGAAACCGAGUCUUAACUGGGCGUUAAGUUGCAGGGUAUAGACCCGAAACCCGGUGAUCUAGCCAUGGGCAGGUUGAAGGUUGGGUAACACUAACUGGAGGACCGAACCGACUAAUGUUGAAAAAUUAGCGGAUGACUUGUGGCUGGGGGUGAAAGGCCAAUCAAACCGGGAGAUAGCUGGUUCUCCCCGAAAGCUAUUUAGGUAGCGCCUCGUGAAUUCAUCUCCGGGGGUAGAGCACUGUUUCGGCAAGGGGGUCAUCCCGACUUACCAACCCGAUGCAAACUGCGAAUACCGGAGAAUGUUAUCACGGGAGACACACGGCGGGUGCUAACGUCCGUCGUGAAGAGGGAAACAACCCAGACCGCCAGCUAAGGUCCCAAAGUCAUGGUUAAGUGGGAAACGAUGUGGGAAGGCCCAGACAGCCAGGAUGUUGGCUUAGAAGCAGCCAUCAUUUAAAGAAAGCGUAAUAGCUCACUGGUCGAGUCGGCCUGCGCGGAAGAUGUAACGGGGCUAAACCAUGCACCGAAGCUGCGGCAGCGACGCUGAUGCGUUGUUGGGUAGGGGAGCGUUCUGUAAGCCUGUGAAGGUGUGCUGUGAGGCAUGCUGGAGGUAUCAGAAGUGCGAAUACUGACAUAAGUAACGAUAAAGCGGGUGAAAAGCCCGCUCGCCGGAAGACCAAGGGUUCCUGUCCAACGUUAAUCGGGGCAGGGUGAGUCGACCCCUAAGGCGAGGCCGAAAGGCGUAGUCGAUGGGAAACAGGUUAAUAUUCCUGUACUUGGUGUUACUGCGAAGGGGGGACGGAGAAGGCUAUGUUGGCCGGGCGACGGUUGUCCCGGUUUAAGCGUGUAGGCUGGUUUUCCAGGCAAAUCCGGAAAACUAAGGCUGAGGCGUGAUGACGAGGCACUACGGUGCUGAAGCAACAAAUGCCCUGCUUCCAGGAAAAGCCUCUAAGCAUCAGGUAACAUCAAAUCGUACCCCAAACCGACACAGGUGGUCAGGUAGAGAAUACCAAGGCGCUUGAGAGAACUCGGGUGAAGGAACUAGGCAAAAUGGUGCCGUAACUUCGGGAGAAGGCACGCUGAUAUGUAGGUGAAGUCCCUCGCGGAUGGAGCUGAAAUCAGUCGAAGAUACCAGCUGGCUGCAACUGUUUAUUAAAAACACAGCACUGUGCAAACACGAAAGUGGACGUAUACGGUGUGACGCCUGCCCGGUGCCGGAAGGUUAAUUGAUGGGGUCAGCGCAAGCGAAGCUCUUGAUCGAAGCCCCGGUAAACGGCGGCCGUAACUAUAACGGUCCUAAGGUAGCGAAAUUCCUUGUCGGGUAAGUUCCGACCUGCACGAAUGGCGUAAUGAUGGCCAGGCUGUCUCCACCCGAGACUCAGUGAAAUUGAACUCGCUGUGAAGAUGCAGUGUACCCGCGGCAAGACGGAAAGACCCCGUGAACCUUUACUAUAGCUUGACACUGAACAUUGAGCCUUGAUGUGUAGGAUAGGUGGGAGGCUUUGAAGUGUGGACGCCAGUCUGCAUGGAGCCGACCUUGAAAUACCACCCUUUAAUGUUUGAUGUUCUAACGUUGACCCGUGAUCCGGGUUGCGGACAGUGUCUGGUGGGUAGUUUGACUGGGGCGGUCUCCUCCUAAAGAGUAACGGAGGAGCACGAAGGUUGGCUAAUCCUGGUCGGACAUCAGGAGGUUAGUGCAAUGGCAUAAGCCAGCUUGACUGCGAGCGUGACGGCGCGAGCAGGUGCGAAAGCAGGUCAUAGUGAUCCGGUGGUUCUGAAUGGAAGGGCCAUCGCUCAACGGAUAAAAGGUACUCCGGGGAUAACAGGCUGAUACCGCCCAAGAGUUCAUAUCGACGGCGGUGUUUGGCACCUCGAUGUCGGCUCAUCACAUCCUGGGGCUGAAGUAGGUCCCAAGGGUAUGGCUGUUCGCCAUUUAAAGUGGUACGCGAGCUGGGUUUAGAACGUCGUGAGACAGUUCGGUCCCUAUCUGCCGUGGGCGCUGGAGAACUGAGGGGGGCUGCUCCUAGUACGAGAGGACCGGAGUGGACGCAUCACUGGUGUUCGGGUUGUCAUGCCAAUGGCACUGCCCGGUAGCUAAAUGCGGAAGAGAUAAGUGCUGAAAGCAUCUAAGCACGAAACUUGCCCCGAGAUGAGUUCUCCCUGACUCCUUGAGAGUCCUGAAGGAACGUUGAAGACGACGACGUUGAUAGGCCGGGUGUGUAAGCGCAGCGAUGCGUUGAGCUAACCGGUACUAAUGAACCGUGAGGCUUAACCUU
rnacentral:rRNA from 1 species